rnacentral:rRNA from 1 species
UAGUAUUCAAUUGUCAGAGGUGAAAUUCUUGGAUUUAUUGAAGACUAACUUCUGCGAAAGCAUUUGCCAAGGAUGUUUUCAUUAAUCAAGAACGAAAGUUAGGGGAUCGAAGACGAUCAGAUACCGUCGUAGUCUUAACCAUAAACUAUGCCGACUAGGGAUCGGAYGAUGUUAAUUUUUUAAUGACUCA